rnacentral:rRNA from 1 species
UGGGGAAUAUUGCACAAUGGGCGCAAGCCUGAUGCAGCCAUGCCGCGUGUGUGAAGAAGGCCUUCGGGUGUAAAGCACUUUCAGCGAGGAGGAAGGUGGUGAGCUUAAUACGCUCAUCAAUUGACGUUACUCGCAGAAGAAGCACCGGCUAACUCCGUGCCAGCAGCCGCGGUAAUACGGAGGGUGCAAGCGUUAAUCGGAAUUACUGGGCGUAAAGCGCAGCAGGCGGUUUGUUAAGUCAGAUGUGAAAAUCCCCGGGCUCAACCUGGGAACUGCAUUUGAAACUGGCAAGCUAGAGUCUCGUAGAGGGGGGUAGAAUUCCAGGUGUAGCGGUGAAAUGCGUAGAGAUCUGGAGGAAUACCGGUGGCGAAGGCGGCCCCCUGGACGAAGACUGACGCUCAGGUGCGAAAGCGUGGGGCAGCAAACAGGAUUAGAUACCCUGGUAGUCCAGCGCUGUAAAACGAUGUCGACUUUGGAGGUUGUGCCCUUGAGGCGUGGCUUCCGGAGCUAACGCGUUAAAGUCGACCGCCUGGGGAGUACGG